UGGGGAAUUUUGGACAAUGGGCGCAAGCCUGAUCCAGCCAUGCCGCGUGCGGGAAGAAGGCCUUCGGGUUGUAAACCGCUUUUGUCAGGGAAGAAAUCUUCUGAGUUAAUACCUCGGGAGGAUGACGGUACCUGAAGAAUAAGCACCGGCUAACUACGUGCCAGCAGCCGCGGUAAUACGUAGGGUGCAAGCGUUAAUCGGAAUUACUGGGCGUAAAGCGUGCGCAGGCGGUUUUGUAAGACAGAGGUGGAAUCCCCGGGCUCAACCUGGGAACUGCCUUUGUGACUGCAAGGCUUGAGUGCGGCAGAGGGGGGAUGGAAUUCCGCGUGUAGCAGUGAAAUGCGUAGAUAUGCGGAGGAACACCGAUGGCGAAGGCAAUCCCCUGGGCCUGCACUGACGCUCAUGCACGAAAGCGUGGGGAGCAAACAGGAUUAGAUACCCUGGUAGUCCACGCCCUAAACGAUGUCAACUGGUUGUUGGGAAGGUUCCUUCUCAGUAACGUAGCUAACGCGUGAAGUUGACCGCCUGGGGAGUACGGCCGCAAGGUUGAAACUCAAAUGAAUUGACGGGGUCAUAGCUGUUUCCUG
rnacentral:rRNA from 1 species